CCCGUCCGCCCCGUGGACGCCUUCCCCGCGCGGCGGAGGUCCCGGCUACCCUGGCCGGGUGCGCCUUCCAGCAGAAGGCGCAAAGCCGACAGCCGUCGCACUCCAGGGAGCUCCUCAAUG
rnacentral:sRNA from 1 species